GAUGAACGCUGGCGGCAUGCCUAAUACAUGCAAGUCGAACGAGAGACCUUCGGGUCUCUAGUGGCGAACGGGUGAGUAACACGUAGGGAACCUGCCCGCGCACCGGGAAUACGCUCUGGAAACGGAGAACAAAUCCCGAUGUACAGGAAGGAGGCAUCUUCUUUCUGUGAAACAUCCUCCAGGGGAUGGGGCGCGGAUGGACCUGCGGUGCAUUAGUUGGUUGGCGGGGUAAAGGCCCACCAAGACGAUGAUGCAUAGCCGGCCUGAGAGGGCGGACGGCCACAUUGGGACUGAGACACGGCCCAG
rnacentral:rRNA from 1 species